AACGAACGCUGGCGGCAUGCCUAACACAUGCAAGUCGAACGAGACCUUCGGGUCUAGUGUCGCACGAGUGCGUAACGCGUGGGAACCUUCCCUUAGGUUCGGAAUAACUCCCCGAAAGGGGUGCUAAUACCGGAUAAUAUCUUCGGACCAAAGAUUUAUCGCCUUUGGAUGGGCCCGCGUUGGAUUAGCUAGUUGUUAGGGUAAAAGCCUACCAAGGCGACGAUCCAUAGCUGGUCUGAGAGGAUGAUCAGCCACACUGGGACUGAGACACGGCCCAGACUCCUACGGGAGGCAGCAGUGGGGAAUAUUGGACAAUGGGCGAAAGCCUGAUCCAGCAAUGCCGCGUGAGUGAUGAAGGCCUUAGGGUUGUAAAGCUCUUUUACCCGGGAUGAUAAUGACAGUACCGGGAGAAUAAGCUCCGGCUAACUCCGUG
rnacentral:rRNA from 1 species